AUUGAACGCUGGCGGCAGGCCUAACACAUGCAAGUCGAGCGGAUGAGUGGAGCUUGCUCCAUGAUUCAGCGGCGGACGGGUGAGUAAUGCCUAGGAAUCUGCCUGGUAGUGGGGGACAACGUUUCGAAAGGAACGCUAAUACCGCAUACGUCCUACGGGAGAAAGCAGGGGACCUUCGGGCCUUGCGCUAUCAGAUGAGCCUAGGUCGGAUUAGCUAGUAGGUGAGGUAAUGGCUCGCCUAGGCGACGAUCCGUAACUGGUCUGAGAGGAUGAUCAGUCACACUGGAAGUGAGACACGGUCCAGACUCCUACGGGAGGCAGCAGUGGGGAAUAUUGGACAAUUGGCGAAAGCCUGAUCCAGCCAUGCCGCGUGUGUGAAGAAGGUCUUCGGAUUGUAAAGCACUUUAAGUUGGGAGGAAGGGCAGUAAGUUAAUACCUUGCUGUUUUGACGUUACCAACAGAAUAAGCACCGGCUAACUUCGUGCCAGCAGCCGCGGUAACAC
rnacentral:rRNA from 1 species